rnacentral:tRNA from 1 species
UUAAUUGAAACCAAAUUAGAGGUAAAUCACUGUUAAUGAUUUUAUUGAAUUUAUAUUCCAAUUAAA